GCAGGGGGGGCGGCCAUAAACAUGCAAGUCGAGCGGCAGCGACAACAUUGAACCUUCGGGGGAUUUGUUGGGCGGCGAGCGGCGGACGGGUGAGUAAUGCCUGGGAAAUUGCCCUGAUGUGGGGGAUAACCAUUGGAAACGAUGGCUAAUACCGCAUGAUAGCUUCGGCUCAAAGAGGGGGACCUUCGGGCCUCUCGCGUCAGGAUAUGCCCAGGUGGGAUUAGCUAGUUGGUGAGGUAAGGGCUCACCAAGGCGACGAUCCCUAGCUGGUCUGAGAGGAUGAUCAGCCACACUGGAACUGAGACACGGUCCAGACUCCUACGGGAGGCAGCAGUGGGGAAUAUUGCACAAUGGGCGCAAGCCUGAUGCAGCCAUGCCGCGUGUAUGAAGAAGGCCUUCGGGUUGUAAAGUACUUUCAGCAGUGAGGAAGGGGAUAUCGUUAAUAGCGGUAUUCUUUGACGUUAGCUGCAGAAGAAGCACCGGCUAACUCCGUGCCAGCAGCCGCGGUAAUACGGAGGGUGCGAGCGUUAAUCGGAAUUACUGGGCGUAAAGCGCAUGCAGGUGGUUUGUUAAGUCAGAUGUGAAAGCCCGGGGCUCAACCUCGGAAUUGCAUUUGAAACUGGCAGGCUAGAGUACUGUAGAGGGGGGUAGAAUUUCAGGUGUAGCGGUGAAAUGCGUAGAGAUCUGAAGGAAUACCGGUGGCGAAGGCGGCCCCCUGGACAGAUACUGACACUCAGAUGCGAAAGCGUGGGGAGCAAACAGGAUUAGAUACCCUGGUAGUCCACGCCGUAAACGAUGUCUACUUGGAGGUUGUGGCCUUGAGCCGUGGCUUUCGGAGCUAACGCGUUAAGUAGACCGCCUGGGGAGUACGGUCGCAAGAUUAAAACUCAAAUGAAUUGACGGGGGCCCGCACAAGCGGUGGAGCAUGUGGUUUAAUUCGAUGCAACGCGAAGAACCUUACCUACUCUUGACAUCCAGAGAACUUAGCAGAGAUGCUUUGGUGCCUUCGGGAACUCUGAGACAGGUGCUGCAUGGCUGUCGUCAGCUCGUGUUGUGAAAUGUUGGGUUAAGUCCCGCAACGAGCGCAACCCUUAUCCUUGUUUGCCAGCGAGUAUGUCGGAACUCCAGGGAGACUGCGGUGAAUAAACGGAAGAAGGGUGGGGACGACGUCAGGUCAUCAUGCCCUUACGGAUAGCUACACGUGCUACAUGCGCAUACGAAGCAGCCAACUGGCUAAGGUGAAGCCGAAAUUC
rnacentral:rRNA from 1 species